GACGAACGCUGGCGGCGUGCCUAAUACAUGCAAGUAGAACGCUGAAGGAGGAGCUUGCUCUUCUGGAUGAGUUGCGAACGGGUGAGUAACGCGUAGGUAACCUGCCUGGUAGCGGGGGAUAACUAUUGGAAACGAUAGCUAAUACCGCAUAAGAGUAGAUGUUGCAUGACAUUUGCUUAAAAGGUGCAAUUGCAUCACUACCAGAUGGACCUGCGUUGUAUUAGCUAGUUGGUGGGGUAACGGCUCACCAAGGCGACGAUACAUAGCCGACCUGAGAGGGUGAUCGGCCACACUGGGACUGAGACACGGCCCAGACUCCUACGGGAGGCAGCAGUAGGGAAUCUUCGGCAAUGGACGGAAGUCUGACCGAGCAACGCCGCGUGAGUGAAGAAGGGUUUCGGAUCGUAAAGCUCUGUUGUAAGAGAAGAACGAGUGUGAGAGUGGAAAGUUCACACUGUGACGGUAUCUUACCAGAAAGAGACGGCUAACUACGUG
rnacentral:rRNA from 1 species